rnacentral:rRNA from 1 species
UACGGAGGGCGCGAGCGUUACCCGGAUUUACUGGGUGUAAAGGGCGUGUAGGCGGUCUCUCAAGUCCGAUGCUAAAGACCGAAGCUCAACUUCGGGGGUGCGUUGGAUACUGUGAGGCUAGACGGUCGGAGAGGGUAGCGGAAUUUCCGGAGUAGCGGUGAAAUGCGCAGAUACCGGAAGGAACGCCAAUAGCGAAGGAAGCUACCGGGACGAUUGGUGACUCUGAGGCGCGAAAGCGUGGGGAGCAAACCGG